rnacentral:rRNA from 1 species
GAUGAACGCUGGCGGCGUGCCUAAUACAUGCAAGUCGAGCGAACGGACGAGAAGCUUGCUUCUCUGAUGUUAGCGGCGGACGUGUGAGUAACACGUGGAUAACCUACCUAUAAGACUGGGAUAACUUCGGGAAACCGGAGCUAAUACCGGAUAAUAUUUUGAACCGCAUGGUUCAAAAGUGAAAGACGGUCUUGCUGUCACUUAUAGAUGGAUCCGCGCUGCAUUAGCUAGUUGGUAAGGUAACGGCUUACCAAGGCAACGAUGCAUAGCCGACCUGAGAGGGUGAUCGGCCACACUGGAACUGAGACACGGUCCAGACUCCUACGGGAGGCAGCAGUAGGGAAUAUUCCGCAAUGGGCGAAAGCCUGACGGAGCAACGCCGCGUGAGUGAUGAAGGUCUUCGGAUCGUAAAACUCUGUUAUUAGGGAAGAACAUAUGUGUAAGUAACUGUGCACAUCUUGACGGUAACUAAUCAGAAAGCCACGGCUAACUACGUG